rnacentral:misc_RNA from 1 species
UUAUUGUUUAUAAUAAUACUACUUUUAUAACUACUAAAUGUUUUAAAUGGGGCAGAUGGGGAUGUAAAUCACCGCAUCUUACAGUUCACAGGUGUUAGGGAUGUGAGUGGGCUGAUAAUUCAUUACAAAUUAUCAACCUUUUUUUUCACUAAUGAUCCUUCCGCAGGUUCACCUACGGAAA